rnacentral:lncRNA from 1 species
GUGAUCUGGGAACCAAAAGGAAUCUGCAAAGCCCCAUAGGAAAAUCACUCCCUGUUUUUCUCUGCAUGCUGACUUCCCUCUUCUAUGGGCUGAGAAACUAAAGACAGUGGCCACUCUUUGCAUCCACCUGAGCCCCACCAGGGCCCUGGUGGUCUCUGUACCCACUUGGCUUCUUCUGCUGCUCUGUGCUCCAGCAGUGGAGGAGCUCUGGAAGCCACCUCUGCAACCCCACACUGCUCUGGCUCUGGCAUGGGAAGGGAAGAGAGCAGAAUGUGGAAGACUUAACCCCGCUGGAGGAGGGAGAGGUGUGUUCAUACCCCACCCUGCUCAUACCAGCAAAGGCUGCCUGGGGACACCUGGGCUGGGGAGUCCCCAGGGCUGUGCCAUUGCUCCAGUAAGUGCCACCUGCAGGUACUCGAGGUACUCAUGGCACUCAAGUGCAUUUUUAAAAUACUCUCAGCGCUGAUAACACCUCUGCCGCUCCAGAGAGGCUCAGUGCCUACCCAGGCACAUAUCACCCACGUGGGACAGCAGAGUGGGCAUCCCAGGGUGGCACAGGCACCCAGGAGAGCAGAGUUCUGCAGUCCUCCUCAGGAACUUGACAACUCCCUCAGCCACCUGAGUCCCACCACAGUUUCUCUUUCUGGACCUCACCCCACAGCCCACCUGUGGUGGAAUGAAGAUGGAUGUGACCUCCCAGAGCAGAGCAGGUUUGAUGCAGAUUUCGAUGUGAACUGGACCAGGGGGACUGGCUGGGAUGAGCACCACCCUACAGAAAGCCUGUGCUCCCUCCUUCCCCACUGCCAGCCCAUCGUGAGUGGCAUCACCCCGCUGCUGCCCCAGCCAUGAGGACCACAAACAAGCCUGGCACCAGCCAAAAACCACCUGGCCCUCCUCCCAUGCACCUGCUCUCCAAGGUGGGGGGAGAGGGGUGGCCACUGAAUUUCAGUUCUGGUGGCUCCAUGAAAGGGCUGAGUGCUGUGUAAGUGCUGAAUCACACCUGUAGGUUUAUUUAAACCCGGAGGAGUGGAUGGGGCAUUGACCAGAGCAGGUCCCACUCCUCCGUCACUCUCUCCUCGCCUGGGGAGAGCCGCUUGCGUCACGACUCAGCACCGGCUGUGCAAACAGAGCCGGGGGCCAGCCCGGGCAGGGAUGGGGCUGGGACGGGGCCCGGAGCAGUUCCUGGGUUCCUCUGCAUCCCUCCUUCUAGGAAUGGGCAAACCCUGCCUCGCCCAUUCCUUCCCCGAGCAUCCCUGUGCCUGCAGGGACGGGAGCUGCUGCAGCUGUGGAGGUGGGGGGAUCCCCACCUUUGGGUGCCCCCACAGCAGCACCAGCACAGUGGUCAGACCCCUGUGUCUUUGUCUUGCUGCUGGAGUAAAAGGGGGCUUAUGCCCCAAACCCAAGCCAGAAUUAUCUGCAGAGUCACAAGUGCUUCCCUUCCCCUGGCAUGGGCAGGAGAGUCACCCUGGCUGAGGGCAAUGGCUGGCCCUGCUCUCCCUGCCUCUGUUUUGCUCACAGAAAACAAAGGCAGCAUUAUUCCCACUCUCUCCAAGGUAGGAGAGGUCACCUCUGUCAAAGGCUCGAAGCCCCUGGAUGGAAAGUGCCAUUAGCCCGACAAAGAUCAAAGCGAAUUUCCCGGCGUGCUUGGCCAGCCCAGGAUCUGUUUCAUUUCCUUGGUACUGUACGAGCAGAAAACUCCAUCCAGCUGCUCCCCUGCCUUUAGCAUCAGAGACCGAGAAAAAUCAAUUCUCAAAGUAAUUAAGAAGCAGUUGAAAAUGCACAGUAUGUCUCGGCAUAGCGCCAUGUAACACCUGUGGGAGGCUUUGCCAGGACAGGUAACUGAACUCCAGGGAGCAUCCUUAGGGAAAAGACCCCUUGGAGGUGCAUCAUGGUCAUUCAGUAGCAUGGGGGUGGUGUGAGUGGGGCCAGAGAGCUGAGACAGGCAGAAAAAACCCAGGGAGAAUCAGCUUUUUCUCUUCCCCUUCUGUUUUUAGCUGGAGGAAAUAUCCCCUGAAACUGAUGCCAAGCCUGGCUGGAGGGAAGGGCUGCUCCACCAUUCUGUGUCUCUGCAGGGAAGCUCCAGCACAGGAUUUAGCUUACACCUGUCCCGUUGCUGUGGCAGAAGUGGGCUCCAGAGAUGCCCAGGGUAGGGCUGAGGCUGGGCAUGGCCUCAGGCUCUGGCUGUGCCGGUGUAAUCGCUCUGUGCUGCAGAAUGACCUUGGGCUGAAAACAAUUCCACACUCAGGCCUCACAGGCUGUUGCUAUCAAGGUCAACCAAAACAGCCCCGGCAGCACGUUUAAGCAGUGGGGGAAGGGAGGGCUUUGCUCUGCUCUGGCCAGGCCAGCGCAGCCCAGGGAGGGUGAGAGGGUGGCAGGGCUGUGGGGCACCAGGAUGGGGCUGGGCACCGCCUGAUGGAUGCUGAGCUGGCUGCCCACAAGGCUGGGAAUGGCAUCUUGGCCUCCUGCUGCCUGUGUGAGCUGGGAAACCCUGGGGCCAACAUCAGGAUCUGGAAAUGCUGGCACAGGGGUCAGCUCGGGGAUAUGCAAUGAAAGGGCUGGGGAAGGCAUGGGGGCACACAGAGACAAGGCCGGAGAAAUAGGUGGAGAAAAAUCUUCAACCCCUCCAGCAAAGUCCACUUCUCAGGGACAGCAGGCUGUAAACCAGGCACGUGUGCCCUGCCAGCACCUUGGCUACCUGGGCAGGGCUGGGCCCUUUCCAACAGCCUCGGCAAAACCUGGCACAGGUGGUUGGUCUGUGCCUUGAGAAUGGAAAAUGGGGGAUUGAUACAGUUUUCCAGCACGAUACAAUGGAAUGAUUUUCAUUCCUUGUGCACGGGAGGGAUGCUCGAUGCACUGUUAGCCCAUCCAUGCAGAUGCAGCAGGUCAGGGGAGAACACCCUUGCACGUGGAGGUCUGUGAGGGGAAAGGCUGUCUCUCUGGAAAAGGACUGAUAGAUCAGAGAGAGCUCAAGGAUCAAUACAAAGGAGCAGAAACCUCGGGGAGGGGGUGUAUGAGAGUGGAGAAUGAUGCUGAAAGGGGGAGAGUCGAGUCUGCAGCUUGUCAGGGAUGAGCUGGCAUCAGGGAUGCAACACAGCGAGCCAGGAAAAUGUCAGGGGCUGUUUUGCUUCAGGUUUAAUGCUGAAUAUGUUCCCAUAAAGGGAGAGGUGGGGGCUGCAGUGAGGCCCCCAAACAUCUCCAAAGGGAGUGAAGGGCCUGGGGUUGCUGCUUAGAUUUUACCUCUUGCAAAUUCCCAUUUCAGCUGAUGCUGCAAGG